rnacentral:misc_RNA from 1 species
UUCUAUGCUUAUGUUUCCAUGAGCUUCCUCUCAUUACAAGACAACAUUGCCUGAGAUUCUCCAAACAAGGAUAAUAUUACCAGGACAAAUGAAUGAUGGAUAUAAUGGGCACUAGCACCAUUAACAAAUGAUGCCAUGCCCUGGGUGUUCCCAUCGUAUAAUGGCAGGAAGCUCAUGGAAACAUAAGCAUAGAAUACAGAGAUGUUGCUAGUAUGGUUCAACUUUGAAAGGUGCACUCUAGAUUGUUGUCAGCUCACCGUCAACUUCCUCCGGGAUCAUUUGCGCAUAUGAACCAGUUGAGAACCCCAACUUUAGCAUGAUUUCUUCCAAACGAUUUACAUUUGUGAGGUACAAGUAGCCAACUAGUGUUUCCAGUGAAGAUGCUCUGUUAUAAACUGCUGCUCCAGCACGCUUUUUUGUCCGCGUUUUAGCUGAACCAACAUUCUUUCCCCACCGAAGAACAUCUCUUUCUUCAGCUGAUAGGCAAUUAUCGUUAAGAAGCUUCUGGAGCAAUGCAUCCUGUGCUUCACAACGUACUACUGCCAUUACACGAUCAUUGUGUUCCUCAAUACUCAAUGGAGGAAACAAAAAGUGUCUGCGAGCAUAUAGCUCAUAUAUGCUAUCACCAAUAUAUGCUAAAGUUGCUGCAUUAUAAACUGAUCGAGGCUUCUCCACUUUUGGUGGACUUGGCAUCCAUCUCUCGUAUCCUAAAUAAGUGUCCUCCAAUUUUGUCACAACCCCUUGAGCUUUAGUGUUGCGCUUGAGAAGGUUUGAUACCGAUUGGGCAGUUAAGGAGAUAGAUGGUGAAGCUAGGGGCGAUGGUGUAGGAGGGAGAGUGUUGGGUUGGGAUAAGGGUUUUUUGUUGGGAUUUCGGGGAGCAUUGGGAUUGUAUGGAAGCCUCUGUUGGGUGUCCCAUGAAGCUCUUAAUAUCAAUGAAGACAUGGCUGAUAGGGUAGCUGGCAUCUACUGAGCAACACAGCCUCUGAGAGGUUUUAGGCUCGGCUUCCGUGGUGAGGUUUUAAGUGAGAAACGGUUACGGAACUGGAGCGUAGCUGAUUUGUG